CUAAACUUGAAAACCCUUUUGACUUCUUUGAGCUGUCACAUCUUAACCCUAACUAUUCAUCUCUCCUUCAUCUUACGAAAUUCUGCAAAGUGAUUAAGAAAAUCAUGGAUUUCAAUGUCAGAUCUUCAAUUCGUUCCCUUUGCACCGCUCAUCAAUAAUUUUACUUGCCUAAUUUUCUCUUCCUGCCAGCCUUCAAUGGUGUUUAAUUUCGUCUUCUCGCUGCCGAUAAAAUUGAGAUUGGAAAAGGCAAUGUAGGUGCAACAAGAGAAUAGGCCGGGACACUUGAGCAUUAAAACAAGCGACUAAAUCGUCUAUAACGCCAUCAUCUAUAUGUUUUGGUUUUUAGUCUUAUUUAUAUUAGUGAUGUAUUAUUUAGGGACAAGCUACUAUAAUAUGCGACUUUUUAUUA